AUGCAUGCACCUUCGUCUUCUCUUCUGUACGAGUAUUUAUUUAUGCUUUGGCGGAUAAGUGCACCCGCACAGAACGAAACAACACCAAUAUGUACUCGGGAUCGGCACUACGGGUGGUAGAGUCUUGCCUCGUCACGCCCAGCGAUGAGACGCCGCGGGAAGGGCUCUGGCUCUCCGCGCUGGACCUGGUGCUGGCUAACAGAGGCCACACCCCUCUCGUCCACGUCUACAGCGCCAGCGACGACGCCGCCGCCGACGGCUUCUUCAACGUGGCCAAGCUCAAGAAGUCCAUGGCCAAGGCGCUGGUGCCCUUCUACCCUCUCGCCGGCCGCCUCGGUGCGGAUCGUGACGGCCGCAUCCAGAUCGACUGCAACGGGGAGGGCGCGCUCUUCGUGGUAGCCCGUUCUGAUCGCACCGUCGAGGACUUCAGCGGCCCCACGCCGUCGUCGGAGCUGACGAAGCUGUUCUGUCCUCGCGUUCAGCCGUCGUCCAUCAUGUUGGCCGCGCAGGUCACCUUCUUGAAGUGCGGCGGUGUGGUCUUAGGGACAGCGGUGCACCACGCCGCCGUGGACGGCUCCAGCGCGUUCCAUUUCAUUGGGACGUGGGCAAGGUACUGCAGGGACGGCCAGGGCGCCGUGAUCGAGCUCCCGUGCCACGACCGCGCCCUCCUCCGCGCGCGCUCCCCGCCCGCCAUCCACCCCGAAACCGUCUCCAUGUUCUGCAGCAAGCUAAGCAUGCACGAGCACGAGUCGUCCGUCCUCGCGACCAAGGUCAUCACCAUCUCCGGUGACCAGCUAUACGCCCUCAAGCGCCACUGCGGCGGCGCUAGCACAUUCUGCGCCGUGAGCGCCCUCGUGUGGCAGUGCGUAUGCAUCGCCCGCCAGCUGGACCCGGAUGCCACAACGCGCAUGAACUUCCCGGUGGACAUCAGGCAUCGCCUGAAGCCGCGCCUCCCUGGUCGCUACUUCGGCAACGGGGUCGUGAACGUGUUCGCCACCGCCGCGGUGAAGGACGUCGUAUCGGAGACGCUGGCCUCCGUCGCGAGCAGGGUGAAGGCCACGACGGAGCAGCUCGACGACGAGCUACUGAGGUCGGCUGUGGACUACUUCGAGACGGAGGCGGCGAAGGGCGGGCGGCCGGAGGACAGGGGAAACCUGCCGGAGACGGAGCUGCGGAUGAACAGUUGGUUCCAUCUGCCCAUAUAUGACGCGAACUUCGGGUGGGGGAAGCCGCGGGUGAUGACGCGGGCGGAGACUGCGCGCGGCGGCUGGGUGUACGUGAUGGCUGGCUGCGGCGAUGGCAGCGCGCGCGUACUUAUCUCCUUGGAGGCGGCGACUCUCAAGAGGUUCGAGCGUGCGCUUGCUGUAUGCCGAGUUCAAACCGGCAUCGUACAUACGAGGCUGUGAUCAUAUAUUCAUAUAUGCUUGCACGUGAUUAAAUCAAUCAAUUGUCUUCGUCGAUU